rnacentral:rRNA from 1 species
UACGGAGGGUGCAAGCGUUAUCCGGAUUCACUGGGUUUAAAGGGUGCGUAGGAGGACUGGUAAGUCAGUGGUGAAAUCCCCGAGCUUAACUUGGGAACUGCCGUUGAUACUAUCAGUCUUGAAUACCGUGGAGAUGAGCGGAAUAUGUCAUGUAGCGGUGAAAUGCUUAGGUAUGACAUAGAACACCAAUUGCGAAGGCAGCUCGCUACACGAAUAUUGACUCUGAGGCACGAAAGCGUGGGGAUCAAACAGG